rnacentral:tRNA from 1 species
AGGAAGGAAGGGUUUUUUCUAAUUUCUAAUUAGAGUUUUAUCCCUUUUU